rnacentral:lncRNA from 1 species
GGAAAUGUUUGGAAGGAAUUAACCUCUCCGUGGAAGUGACUUAGAAUGCACAGCGUCAGAUUCUCUGUUUUCCUCUAGAUGGCAGAGUAGUAUUCGAAAUGUUAAAGAGCUUUUAUUACUUGCAUCAGAGUUCCUGAUGAGAGACCUCUUAAGAAACCCCUCUCUAGUGGCCAUUUGUAUUUUCUCUGAGAAUUUCCCAACAAGCUUUCAGGAAAAUAAUGUCUAAGAGCAGUGAAUCCAGGAUGGAGUUUCUGCAAACACCGUGAGUAAGUAUUUCCAGAAUUUUCUUUCUCUGAGUUUCUCAAACACUAAAAAGUAAAGCAGUGCGCUACCUGUUU